rnacentral:siRNA from 1 species
UCCGUCGAAUCAUAUACAGGGCCA